GAUAUUGCACAAUGGGGGAAACCCUGAUGCAGCGACGCCGCGUGAUGGAAGAAGGCCUCCGGGUCGUAAAGCUCUGUUUCGAGGGAAGAAAAUGACGGUACCUCGGGAGAAAGCCCCGGCUAACUACGUGCCAGCAGCCGCGGUCAUACGUAGGCGGGAAGCGUUAUCCGGAAGCAUUGGGCGUAAAGGGGGCGUAGGUGGUCAAUAAAGGCAGAGGUUGAAAGCUAGGGCUCAACCAUAGUAAGACUUUGAAACUUAUUGACUUGAGUGCAGGAGAGAGGGGUGGGAUUCCUAGUGUAGCGGUGAAAUGCGUAGAUAUUAGGAGGAACACCAGUGGCGAAGGAGACUCUCUGGACUGUAACUGACGCUGAGGCACGAAAGCGUGGGUAGCGAACA
rnacentral:rRNA from 1 species